rnacentral:rRNA from 1 species
ACAUGCAAGUCGAGCGGAAAGGCCCUUCGGGGUACUCGAGCGGCGAACGGGUGAGUAACACGUGAGUAACCUGCCCCAGACUUUGGGAUAACCCUCGGAAACGGGGGCUAAUACCGAAUAUGACCUAGCUUCGCAUGGAGCGUGGUGGAAAGUUUUUCGGUUUGGGAUGGACUCGCGGCCUAUCAGCUUGUUGGUGGGGUAAUGGCCUACCAAGGCGACGACGGGUAGCCGGCCUGAGAGGGCGACCGGCCACACUGGGACUGAGACACGGCCCAGAC